UAAUAAGUGUUUAUGGCACUUCUUAAAUCCAUAUCCACCUUGUGUGCAAUGUCAGCCAUUUUCUUUAUGAAAGCGGCCAAACAUCAACUUAUUUUUUAACUGUCUGUCUGAAAACUAUUAUGAAUAAACAAUUCAAAUA
rnacentral:misc_RNA from 1 species